UACGUAGGGUCCAAGCGUUAUCCGGAAUUACUGGGCGUAAAGAGUUGCGUAGGUGGCAUAGUAAGCAAAAAGUGAAAUGACUCGGCUCAACCGAGUAUACAUUUUUUGAACUACUAAGCUUGAGUAUGAGAGAGGUAGAUGGAAUUUCUAGUGUAGGAGUGAAAUCCGUAGAUAUUAGAAGGAACACCGAUGGCGUAAGCAGUCUACUAGCUCAUUACUGACACUAAGGCACGAAAGCGUGGGGAGCGAACGGG
rnacentral:rRNA from 1 species